AAAAAAUUAAAGUAGUGUUUCCUUGUUAGAAGAUACAAAGGCAAAGACACAUACAGACUUUGGCUACACCAUCAAAAUUUUGAGAAGCAAUAAGAAGCUUGAUUAGUGUUUUGGAGUCAAAUAUGACUAGAUGUCAUGUGUAUGAUUGAGUAUAAGAACUAGAACCGCAACUGGUUCCCAAAAGCUAAAGUAGUGUUUCCUUGUUAGAAGAUUCAAAGCCAAAGAAUCAUACGGACUUUGGUUACAACAUCAAAGCUAUGAGAAGCAAUAAGAAUUUUGGUAAGUGUUUUGGAGUCAAAUAUGACUAUCCGUUAGUGUCGCUCUCACGGAAAAGUGACUUUGUCAUCCGGUCCGUUGAACGGUUGCGCCCAGUUACGAUUUGAAUC
rnacentral:sRNA from 1 species